UCAAUACCAUAUUUGGAGAGUACUCUGAAUGUCAGAAAAUGUCAAGGAUGGUUCCAGAAAUUCCAGUUUGGGAACAGGGCCCUCAUGAAUAUGCCAUGCAAAGACAACUUAUUGAGUUGGAUAAUGAUGUGCCAAUAGCUGCUGUUAAGAGGAAUCCAGAGGCAAUAGUCAAGAAAUUGACCAUAAUUGUCCAUUCAUCCAUUCAAUUAUUCACAAGCAACUACAGGACCUUUGUUAUGUGUCAAAACUAGAUAUGUGAGUAUCCCAUGAGCUCAUGCCAUAAAAUCUGCAACAGCAUGUGGACAUUUAAACUUCCUUGUUCUCUCAUGAAAAGAGGAAGCCA
rnacentral:lncRNA from 1 species